rnacentral:rRNA from 1 species
AUUGAACGCUGGCGGCAGGCCUAACACAUGCAAGUCGAGCGGAUGAACGGUGCUUGCUCCUGGAUUCAGCGGCGGACGGGUGAAUAAUGCCUAGGAAUCUGCCUGGUAGUGUUGUAUAACGUCCGGAAACGGGCGCUAAUACCGCAUACGUCCUGAGGGAGAAAGGGGGGGAUCUUCGGACCUCACGCUAUCAGAUGAUCCUAGGUCGGAUUAGCUAGUUGGUGGGGUAAAGGCCUACCAAGGCGACGAUCCGUAACUGGUCUGAGAGGAUGAUCAGUCACACUGGAACUGAGACACGGUCCAGACUCCUACGGGAGGCAGCAGUGGGGAAUAUUGGACAAUGGGCGAAAGCCUGAUCCAGCCAUGCCGCGUGUGUGAAGAAGGUCUUCGGAUUGUAAAGCACUUUAAGUUGGGAGGAAGGGCAGUAAGUUAAUACCUUGCUGUUUUGACGUUACCAAAAGAAUAAGCACCGGCUAACUUCGUG